UAAAAACUCAUGAACCAAUUCGUCGAACUCAUAAACCAAAUUCGUUAGUGCAUUUCUGUAAUUUUAUUCACGAGGCGUAUGCAUUAAAACUCUCCCACGCUGUACCAUGAGAUUAAAUUUAUUUCUAAUAGGCUGUCACCCCCACGUGACCCGUCAGUAAAGCUUCAGGUAAUGCAGCGCUAGGUCCGUUGUGGGAUAACUCACGGAAUAAGUGGUAACGCAAAACCGCCAUUACCCAGCUGUCCAAUUAUCUCCAUUAGAUAGGUUAUGUCACAUUCUCCACAAUCAGCGUCGGAAGUUUAGGAGCAGCUUGGCCAAGUCGGAAACUUUCGGCGUCUACGGAAAUGAAUUGACCUUCUGAUCGGCAUCGAAAUCCAUUUGUGAGGGGAAUCAGGACGCAGUUAAAUUCCUGGUCGACAAACACAGCGAUUUCGCGAUGGAAGAGGUCGGCGCUUCCGACCCGGUCGUCAAGGAGAUUCCUGUAUUCCUGUCGAAAACCCUCGCUGAGAAGCUUUUCAUCUUCCAAUACCCGCUGCGGUCGUCGCGCAGUGGUUUCGACAACCUUAACAUCUCCAAGUCCUCCAUAAAGCCGGAAAAUCAGGAAGUGCGACUCGAGGUUUCCCUCGACACCGACAAUGUCAAUUACGAUCACAGCAAGGGGGAACAGAUCGCCCUUAAUGUCGACGGAGCUCUGAAACAUGACCAGGAAGGCGAACGAGCUUUCGACAGUCACAUUAUGGACAAGACAGUUCUUCAUUCUAUGCGUGCCCUUCCCGACUGUUCAAACUACGCCGUCGGGGUAUUCCUAGACGGAGAACUACACCUAACGCCACUGAAAGGCGUGGUUCAAAUGCGUCCGCAAUUCCAUUACCUGGACAAGAGCGACAAGAGAGUAAAGGACGAGGCUAAAGUGGCGGGCGAAGAGGCUGAAGACGAGGAGGAGAGUGUCAAGCAGGUGAAUGUGACGUUUGCCAGACAGGAGCCAGAGUUCGUGAAAAAAAUGCGGGAACAGUCGUUUCAACAUCACACUAAAAAGAGUUUAGAGGAGCAGUGGGUUCACACAGAAUAUGUUAAACCCACUACUGGAAAGGCAGAGUUGACCAGAAUGGAAAUGAUUUCUACUUCAAAUGAGGACUCUGUCAAUACUCUAAAUCUAACUAGUGAAAAGUACCUCUCACUUUUGGUUCCACCGCCGAAAGAGGAUGAAAUCGUGAAGGCUGCAGAUCCCAACCCGACCAUGUCUCUGAAAUAUAUUCGCACACUGCCGCUUCUCGAUCAAAUACGAAUAUUCGUGAAAGAUGCAAAAGUCAUGGCAUUCUCCCAGCUGCGAAUUCUUCUCUCCAGCGGUCACGAUCCUGCCACCGUUUUGAAGUACCUUCAACAAGUAGCAGUGUUGGUUCAAGGAAAUUGGAUCGUAAACAGCGAGCUGGUUUAUCCAAAAGACACAGUUUCCGCGCACAACGGGAUCCCCUCCGACUUGAUGUGUCGAGCACGGGAUUAUGUCCUUUUGGCGUUCACCGAAUCCCAACAUAUCGAUCGCAAGACCAUAUCUUCAGUUGUAAAAUUGCCGUCCGAAGAGGUGUCUGAAAUAUUUACAAAUCUUGCCCGUCAUCAAACAAAAAAAGGAUGGUCUCUAAUCUUGCCUCGCAAUCAAGAUUUCAUAGAUAGGCAUCCGGAAAUUGCUCAGCGGCAGGAAAUGUUAUGGGAAGCAAAGCGAAAGCACCUAAGAGAGGCAAUGGAGCCUCACAAUCAGCCACCCCAGCGACAAAGGCGAAAAUCAAACAGGGAAUCGAUCGGCUCUGAAAACGAGGAGAGAAACGUAGGCCGAGGUAGAAAAACCCUGAGAGAUUCCUCGGUAUCCGAUAACGACAGCUCCGCCGAAAAUGCCAAGCAGAAAAAAACUAACAGGCCUAGAAAAUCGUCCGAGACAACGUGACCUAGGCUGGUACGUGAAUAAAUUGAUAAUAGAAAGCGUUUGAGGGGCAAAAAAAAGGACAAGAAGGGGAAGAAGGAUUUUGGUCGGCUGGAACUGUGGAUGUCAAUCGUAUCAUCGAAGAUCAUUGUCAGUCUAAGAAAGUGUUGAUCUUACUGCCGCCACUGCAACUCCUGUCAGUAAUUAUUGAUCGAAUUUCUCAGGGUCAGAAAAAUAUUCCGCAUCUCUCUGCAACGCUGAGGUCGGAAACCACAGAGAUACUCCAGGUUCGACGACGAAUGGAUUCAGCCCUGGCAGCGCUGGUGGAAGUUCGAAUUUCUCUCUGCAAACUCUGUCGAUCAGCGUCGCAGGCGUAUGAAGGCGCAGGGUCUCAUUAACGACAGCGUCCAGAUACCGCAUGGCGUGCAGAGCCUCGUAGGUCACGUCGCCGUCGCAUUCUUCCACAACCCGAUCGACCUCCGCUUGAAGCUUCUCCUGCACGUCCGGAUUCACGGUAAUCUCGUGGACGGCGAAAGUCAUUAGCACGGAAACCGUGUCGAACCCGCCUAAGUAGAAUAAGAAAGCGUGAGCCGCCAUCUCUUUGACCGUCAAUUUGAGACUCUCGUCUUUAUUCCUCGCCUGCAUCAUCAGCUGGAGCAUGUCAGGGCGGUAAAUUCCUCUUGCGUCCCUUGUCGUGACCGACGUUUUGAUUACGUCGUUGUAGAAACCGACUAUCUUGUCGUCGAACAGCCUUACUUUGAAGAGUUUUGCUAGGCGUGGAAACAUCCGAAGCACGAAUAAUUUUGUCGACCUUAUACCAUCAAAGUUUGACGCUUUUCCACCCAUUACGUAAAACUCGUUUUCUGGCUCUGCGAGCGAAUCCAUGCUUAUGCCAAACGCUGAUGUUAGUAUCACAUCGUUCGUGUACCUCGCCAGGAUGUUCCUCAUGUCGAAGACGUUUGAAUCGUCACCCCGCGUUUUCAAGUGCCUUACCAAAUUUACUGCGCAUUCCUUCACCAGUUUGAAUAUAGUUUUCAUUUUACUUGAUGUAAAGGAGGGGCUCAACAGCGUCCUCGUAUCCUUCCAACGCUUGCCUUGCAGCCCGAAGAGGCUCUCCUUGAAGAACGAAUCGGGUACUUCUUGGGCGAACAUUUUGUGAUCCGGAAAAUUCUCAAAGUUCUUUAUUGCGAUCAACCUGAUGAGCUCUGGAUCUCUGAGGAGGACGACAGGGCUUGCGAAGUCGAAGAAUCCUACGUACUUUGCAUCGCGAUUGUAAUUGUAGGCGUGCAAAAUUGUAUCCGUGAGACUCUUCCUGCCGAAGAAAACUUGUGCCAUAUUACCCAGCACAGGUAUCGGCGGUAGAUACGGGAUUCCUCUAUUCUUGAAGUAAUCCAAACCGCGGAAACCAUAGUAGUAGAUUAUAGUCAGGGCGACUAACGCCGAGGCGACUAAAGUCGUCCAAGCUUCUAUCAUUUUCCCCGACUUCCUCACAACUCUAUGUUAUUCUUUGAAGAAUUGUCAAUGGCAAAUUGAAAGUUUUCUAUUCUAUUUCACGCCCAGUCGUUCAGAAUUCGCAGCUUAACUAUCCCUUCUCACAGAGAGUGUUUAUGACACGUCUUGCAACACUGAGUGAAGAAAUCUAUUUGAAAAUAUUCUCGUUUUUUUGAUAACCUCAGCGCAGUAUCUGCUCCAUAGGUCAGAGUGCUGCUCGAUCUACUUUCAAUAUGUCUUUAUUGUAUAAUAUCGUGUGUUUUCUGUUUGCGAGAAUUUGCUGCGAGCGCAGGACUGAUAAACUCGAAAUAAAAUUAUGUGCAAAAGGUUUGAACUUGAUAACGGUACCGUAGAUUUGUUAGAUUUUAUUUUACUAUUUGUAUUUCAUGGCACUAGUGUAUUACAGCUAUAAUCUCAUUCGAAUUUCUACUUCGUCAUUGUUUAUUUACAGUACUGAUAAUCGUGUUAUACAACAGUUAUGAAAUACUCUAAAAAACGAAUACAAAUAAAAAACCUUGUCGAUUUUAAACUUGCUAAACUUGUUCUACAUCUGUCAAAUGACGUCAGUUGUAAAAUAAUGGAAAAACAUAUUUGUCGUUGAAAAGUGGACGGAUAUUGGGACGGAACAUUAGUUGGUCACUUACGUACUACAAUAACAAGCCUACAAGAUCUAUUCAUGAUCAGUUUGUAAAAGCGAUAGAAAUUUAACCUAAUAAAUAAAAUAAAGUAUACUGAUGAUUAAA